CCCGAGCAGGCCCCGCCCCGGCUCCCCGCGCCUGUGGCCCCCACCCAGGUGCGAGGAAGCUAGCACCGCGGGGCUGCGGGCGGAAGUCUGGAGGGCACAGGGACCAGCUGGGUGGUGGCCUGAGGACGGUGGGCACCGGAGUCUGCCACGCUCUCCACUGGAAAGGCCUCGGGCCAUCAGCCUGAGGUGUAGCCGUCAAAGCCUGGAGGGUGUCCUCGCUCGGCUAGGGAGCCUCCUGCAAACCGUCGCUGGGCGUUCUCCUCGGGGUCUCUGUGACGUCGCUAAAAGACACCUGCGGCGAGGCUUCGGCUGCAUUUGUGGCGUUCAGUGUGGACUGGCUGCUGUGGGCCACCUGACCCAGGGCCUCGGGCAUGGCAGUUUUGUUCUAAAUGUGCUAUUGUUAACGAAAUGGAGCACCUCAUACGUUUUCUCCAGAUUCAAUUAAGCAUAUCAGUUAAAUCAAUAUAAAUGUUUUCCUGAGAUUCCUGUCCACUGAAAGAUGCCCUGAUCUUUUUGCCCGGCCACUCCAGUUGUUAACUACAAUACUUGAUGGAGUGUGGAUGCUUGAACCACUUUGCUGGUGUUUUCUUUGCCACUGGUGGCCGCUGCGCCGGGGAGGAGCGGAGGAUGCAAGCGGCAUUCUACAGGAGAUGGAGCUGAAGAGCAAAGAGCUCUCACACCAUAGAUGGGUUUUUUAAAGACUCAAAAUGGGAGUUGGAGCAGAAGGUGUGGCUUCAUGGCUGAGUUCUGGACAAAGGAAUAUAUAGUCCCCUGCCCGCACACUCAUUUUCUCCGAGCCUGAUGGAGAGUGCCAGAGGUCGGUGCUGAGGCCCUGGAGCAACACCAAUGGAAAACUCACAGCACACUGUGAUUGGAAAGCCGGAGAUCAACCUGUGUGUGCUGGGCGCCUAAACUGGAGUGGUUCUCGUCUAUCAGCCAGCUUCUAUGGAUACACACCUGGUUGCCCAUCCCAGCCUCAGACACUGCGAUUACCAAUAAACCUCCCCUGUUCCAUCA